rnacentral:rRNA from 1 species
CCUACGGGGGACAGCAGUGAGGAAUAUUGGUCAAUGGACGAGAGUCUGAACCAGCCAAGUAGCGUGAAGGAUGACUGCCCUAUGGGUUGUAAACUUCUUUUAUAUGGGAAUAAAAUGUUCCACGUGUGGGAUUUUGUAUGUACCAUAUGAAUAAGGAUCGGCUAACUCCGUGCCAGCAGCCGCGGUAAUACGGAGGAUCCGAGCGUUAUUCGGAUUUAUUGGGUUUAAAGGGAGCGUAGGUGGAUUGUUAAGUCAGUUGUGAAAGUUUGCGGCUCAACCGUAAAAUUGCAGUUGAAACUGGCAGUCUUGAGUACAGUAGAGGUGGGCGGAAUUCGUGGUGUAGCGGUGAAAUGCUUAGAUAUCACGAAGAACUCCGAUUGCGAAGGCAGUUCACUGGACUGCAACUGACACUGAGGCUCGAAAGUGUGGGUAUCAAACAGGAUUAGAUACCCUUGUAGUC